AGUGAACGCUGGCGGUAGGCCUAACACAUGCAAGUCGAACGGCAGCACAGUAAGAGCUUGCUCUUACGGGUGGCGAGUGGCGGACGGGUGAGGAAUACAUCGGAAUCUACUUUUUCGUGGGGGAUAACGUAGGGAAACUUACGCUAAUACCGCAUACGACCUACGGGUUAAAGCAGUGGAUCUUCGGACCUUGCUCGAUUGAAUGAGCCGAUGUCGGAUUAGCUAGUUGGCGGGGUAAAGGCCCACCAAGGCGACGAUCCGUAGCUGGUCUGAGAGGAUGAUCAGCCACACUGGAACUGAGACACGGUCCAGACUCCUACGGGAGGCAGCAGUGGGGAAUAUUGGACAAUGGGCGCAAGCCUGAUCCAGCCAUACCGCGUGGGUGAAGAAGGCCUUCGGGUUGUAAAGCCCUUUUGUUGGGAAAGAAAAGCAGCAGGUUAAUACCCCGCUGUUCUGACGGUACCCAAAGAAUAAGCACCGGCUAACUUCGUG
rnacentral:rRNA from 1 species